rnacentral:rRNA from 1 species
GUUGAACGCUGGCGGCAGGCCUAACACAUGCAAGUCGAGCGGAUGAAGGGAGCUUGCUCCUGGCUUCAGCGGCGGACGGGUGAGUAAUGCCUAGGAAUCUGCCUGGUAGUGGGGGAUAACGUCCGGAAACGGGCGCUAAUACCGCAUACGUCCUGAUGUAGAAAGUGGGGGAUCUUCGGACCUCACGCUAUCAGCUGAGCCUAGGUCGGAUUAGCUAGUUGGUGGGGUAAGGGCCUACCAAGGCGACGAUCCGUAACUGGUCUGAGAGGCUGAUCAGUCACACUGGAACUGAGACACGGUCCAGACUCCUACGGGAGGCAGCAGUGGGGAAUAUUGGACAAUGGGCGAAAGCCUGAUCCAGCAAUGCCGCGUGUGUGAAGAAGGUCUUCGGAUUGUAAAGCACUUUAAGUUGGGAGGAAGGGAAGUAAGUGAAUACCUUGCUGUUUUGACGUUACCAACAGAAUAAGCACCGGCUAACUUCGUG